GGUGACUUCUGUGCAAAUAUUGACUACCAGUUGAGGGGGACUGCAAUUGAUAUCACAGAUGCAAGUCUUGUUUUCUUUACAAUCUUGAGGCACAAUCACUACUACUUGAUGUGCUUUAACAUCCCCAAGUCAAAACUUCAGAUCAUUGAUAACAAGCUAAUGCCCAAGGGAAUACCAAAUACGAACAGAUAUGAGAACUGCCCGGCUAAGUUGAAAACAGCUUUCUACAAAUACCUCCAAUCGAAGAAAAACACCCUUGCAAGAAAAGUGAAGAAUAUCG